rnacentral:rRNA from 17 species
AGACCCGAAACCCGGUGAUCUAGCCAUGGGCAGGUUGAAGGUUGGGUAACACUAACUGGAGGACCGAACCGACUAAUGUUGAAAAAUUAGCGGAUGACCUGUGGCUGGGGGUGAAAGGCCAAUCAAACCGGGAGAUAGCUGGUUCUCCCCGAAAGCUAUUUAGGUAGCGCCUCGUGAAUUCAUCUCCGGGGGUAGAGCACUGUUUCGGCUAGGGGGCCAUCCCGGCUUACCAACCCGAUGCAAACUGCGAAUACCGGAGAAUGUUAUCACGGGAGACACACGGCGGGUGCUAACGUCCGUCGUGAAGAGGGAAACAACCCAGACCGCCAGCUAAGGUCCCAAAGUCAUGGUUAAGUGGGAAACGAUGUGGGAAGGCCCAGACAGCCAGGAUGUUGGCUUAGAAGCAGCCAUCAUUUAAAGAAAGCGUAAUAGCUCACUGGUCGAGUCGGCCUGCGCGGAAGAUGUAACGGGGCUAAACCAUGCACCGAAGCUGCGGCAGCGACGCUGAUGCGUUGUUGGGUAGGGGAGCGUUCUGUAAGCCUGCGAAGGUGGCCUGUGAGGGUUGCUGGAGGUAUCAGAAGUGCGAAUGCUGACAUAAGUAACGAUAAAGCGGGUGAAAAGCCCGCUCGCCGGAAGACCAAGGGUUCCUGUCCAACGUUAAUCGGGGCAGGGUGAGUCGACCCCUAAGGCGAGGCCGAAAGGCGUAGUCGAUGGGAAACGGGUUAAUAUUCCCGUACUUGGUGUUACUGCGAAGGGGGGACGGAGAAGGCUAUGUUGGCCGGGCGACGGUUGUCCCGGUUUAAGCGUGUAGGUGUGUGUUCCAGGUAAAUCCGGUU